rnacentral:rRNA from 1 species
CUACGGGCCGCUGCAGUGGGGGAUAUUGCACAAUGGGCGAAAGCCUGAUGCAGCAACGCCGCGUGAAGGAUGACGGAUUUCGGUCUGUAAACUUCUAUCAGCAGGGAAGAAAAUGACGGUACCUGACUAAGAAGCCCCGGCUAACUACGUGCCAGCAGCCGCGGUAAUACGUAGGGGGCAAGCGUUAUCCGGAAUUACUGGGUGUAAAGGGUACGUAGGCGGCUGAUCAAGUCAGAUGUGAAAGCCCGGAGCUCAACUCCGGGAUUGCAUUUGAAACUGGUCGGCUAGAGUGCAGGAGAGGAAAGUGGAAUUCCUAGUGUAGCGGUGAAACGCGUAGAUAUUAGGAAGAACACCAGUGGCGAAGGCGGCUUUCUGGACUGUAACUGACGCUGAGGUACGAAAGCGUGGGGAGCGAACAGGAUUAGAUACCCCGGUAGUC